GACGAACGCUGGCGGCGUGCCUAAUACAUGCAAGUUGAGCGCUGAAGGUUGGUACUUGUACCAACUGGAUGAGCAGCGAACGGGUGAGUAACGCGUGGGGAAUCUGCCUUUGAGCGGGGGACAACAUUUGGAAACGAAUGCUAAUACCGCAUAAAAACUUUAAACACAAGUUUUAAGUUUGAAAGAUGCAAUUGCAUCACUCAAAGAUGAUCCCGCGUUGUAUUAGCUAGGUGGUGAGGUAAAGGCUCACCAAGGCGAUGAUACAUAGCCGACCUGAAAGGGAGAUCCGCCACAUUGGGACUGGGACCAGGCCCAAGCUCCUAAGGGGGGCAGCAGGAGGGGAUCUUCGGCCAAGGACGGAAGUCUGACCGAACAACGCCGGGGGGGUGAAGAAGGGUCUCGGGUCGUAAAACUCUGUUGGUAGGGAAGAAAGUUGAUGAGGGUAGAAAGCUCAUGAAGUGACGGUAACUACACAGAAAGGAACGGCUAACUACGUG
rnacentral:rRNA from 1 species